AAAUGAAGUUCAAGUGGCCAUUGGCUCAAGACUGCUUUUUUACAUUGUCGAAAUGAGGUCUGAAGAUUAAGAAAAAGACAAAUUAAAAAUGAAUAAUUAUCACUGUGGCUGUCCAUGAUGCUGAAUGUCUCUGGGGUGCGGCAAAAGCAGGAAUCCAUGAUGACGUCCAAAGAGGAGGUGAAUCUGCUCAUCUCGCACUACUACCCCAGUCACAAUCAGCAUUAUACACAAAAUAUGAGUUUAGGUAUGUUUAAUAUGAAUGUUUCGGCUUUCAGAAUACCAUCGUAAUGGUCGUAUCAAAAUUCUCCUGUAGGGGACUUACGAACACUACACAGUGGGUCGGAUCAACAAUCUGUACAAGAGGCAGGUUUUUGUACAGUCAGUUAAUCAGACUCAAUCACUGUGGUGGACUUUCGGUGGCGGGACCAAACUGGAAAUCGGCAGUAAGUUGCUACACAAUAAGACUUUUCAAGAUUUUCUGCAAAAAUAGUUGGAGAUUCGAUCAGUUGUUAUACAUUAAUUUCGCUGAACGUUUUUGCGAAUUGCUAGCAUUGUAUAUUUCACAUUAUCUUAUUACAUCUUAUUCCGUCGUGAAACUAGACAGAACAAAAAACAUGAAUUUGAAAAGCUCAAGUGAGUAGGAUACAUGUGUGUAGGAUAUGUCUACAUAAAAAGCUUCGGGGAUGCUGUUACACAUUAUAAAUGGUUGACUUAAAAUCUGCGUGAAGUCAGAAAGAAAAAUGCUUAGGACGACAGUGACUCUUGAGCGAGAGGUUUUUGUACGGCUGGUGGAUGAGUCUGUAUCACUGUGGAACACUUUCGGUGGCGGAACGAAACUGUCAGUUGGACGUGACACAGUUCCCACCCUCACAGUCCUGCCCCCCUCCAGUGUGGAGCUGAAGCAGGGAAAGGCCACACUGGUGUGUCUGGCCAACAAGGGCUUCCCCUCAGACUGGACUCUGCGCUGGAAAGUGGACGGUACCAGUAGGAGCUCGGGCGUGGCCGGGAGUGUGGGGGUCCUGGGGAAGGACGGCCUGUACAGCUGGAGCAGCUCCCUGACUCUCAGUGAUAACGACUGGGUGAAGGCAGGGUCACUGACCUGUGAGGCCACAAAGGGCUCCCUGUCUGCCCCCCCUCAGACACUGAGGAGAGCCCACUGUUCUUAGUAGGCCGGGUGGAGGCCCAGCUCACACACUCUGGUCACACUGUUUUUACCCUGUUCUGCCCUCAGCCUCUCUGCUCCUUACUGCUGUCACACUGAGCUGAGCCUGUGUGUGAAUCCUUCCCCCAGCCUGAGCUUUCAGUGCUAAUA